GAGGGAGAAAUGGGGGACUGCAGGGGGGCUGUGCACCAUGGCUAGGAGGGGAUACGGAGCAAAACAACCUCAGUCCCCCAUAAAUU